rnacentral:rRNA from 1 species
CCUACGGGUGGCUGCAGUGGGGAAUAUUGGACAAUGGGCGCAAGCCUGAUCCAGCCAUGCCGCGUGAGUGAUGAAGGCCUUAGGGUUGUAAAGCUCUUUCAGUGGGGACGAUAAUGACGGUACCCACAGAAGAAGCCCCGGCUAACUUCGUGCCAGCAGCCGCGGUAAUACGAAGGGGGCUAGCGUUGUUCGGAUUUACUGGGCGUAAAGCGCACGUAGGCGGAUCGUUAAGUCGGGGGUGAAAUCCUGGAGCUCAACUCCAGAACUGCCUUCGAUACUGGCGAUCUAGAGUCCGGAAGAGGUGAGUGGAACUCCUAGUGUAGAGGUGGAAUUCGUAGAUAUUAGGAAGAACACCAGUGGCGAAGGCGGCUCACUGGUCCGGUACUGACGCUGAGGUGCGAAAGCGUGGGGAGCAAACAGGAUUAGAUACCCGUGUAGUC